GUUAAGUGUUCUUACCACAAUAAAAAAAGACUAAUGUAUUAAAAAGAAUUGUUAGUUUAUGUUUUUGUAUAUAUUAUGCAUAAAGAUGUAAUUCUUUGACACCAACAACUGAAAAAGGUGGGGACUGAGCUGUAAAGGAGCGGAGUUUUUGUGUGUUAUUGAAGUUAAGCUGUAUAAAUUCAAAUCAGAGUAUUAUAACUUUAGAAUGUUAAAUGUAAUCUCCAUGGUAACCACAGAGAAAGUAGCUAUAGAAUAUUUACAAAAGGAAAUGAGUAAGAAAUGUAAAUGCUUCACUGUAAAAAAAAAACAGCAACUAAAUACAUAUGAAGAAAGUAAUGCAGGAAAUAAAGGACAAAAAGAAGCUAUAAGAUCCACAGGGGCAGAAAGUGACCAGGAGAGCUCUAGAAAAGCCAGAGAGUUUGGAACAUACGCAGUGGAUCGUCUUAGCAAUGAUGAAGGCCCAACUGAGCCCUUCCCAAGUUCCAGAAGGAACACAGCCAUGCAGGGGGCAGCAGAAGCAACAGGUCUCAGUGGAGCAUCCUCUGGCCCUACAGUCAGUAACAGAACACUUUGUUUGCAAGGACACAGUCUACCGCUGUCUGAACUGAUCGAGAAACCUUUUUCCUUGCCAUUUCUCUGCCCUUGUAGUCUUAGUGCAAAUAAUUCAUUCUAGCAGUCUAUUUGCUUUCAUUUCCGUGACUAUUACAAAUAUUGCUCUUUCUGAUUCUUGUGUAAACAGCGUCGGCAAGAAUCCUUCCUCCUCUGAGAGGAUAAAGCAGAAUCAGUGCCCAGAAGUUUAAACUAGACAGUACCUCUGCCUUGCAAAAUCCUACUACAAGUCAAGAUCUGGCUUCUCUGGGGACUCUGUGAUGAGUCAGACACUCAGGGUCUAUGCCCUGGAGGAGCUUGCAGUCAAAAAGGAAAAUCAGGAAACGUGCCUAUGCCCAGAAUACACAGCAGCCGGGGCAAAGUGCUGAAGAGGGGAGAUCUGAAACACAGGACAGCCCUCGUGACUCUGAGUCAUGCUGCCGGGCUUCAGUAUUACUCUGCCACUUACUAACGUGUGAGCUUAGGCAAGUGAUUUACGUGGUCUGUGCCUCAGUUUCCUCAGCUGUAAAAUAGGGUUAAUACUAAGCAUCUACCUCUUAAAGUGGUCCUGAGGAGUAAAUGCCAAUAUAUGAAAAGUAUGUAAACAGUGCCUAGUGAAUAGUCCAUGUUGCCUUUUGGUAUUAUUUUCUACAUCUGCUUGUUAUAAAGGGCAGUUCCCACUGCUAUGGAACUCAUGUUCAUUGUUAAAAGCAAUAGUGUGUGACCUUCCCUUGUCUUUUUAUUCUUUGGAGCUUGUUUUGUAAAGAGUGUUAUCUGAAUAGCAGCAGACCUUUAGAGACAGCACCAAGUUGGUGACUGCCACACUUCCCUGUGCUGUCCAGAACCUGGUCGGCAGGUGGCCCUUAUACCCAUGUGACUCAAUGGGAUGGCCCCUGGUUGAGGCUCAUUGCCCAGGGACUUAACAAGCACCAUCCCUAGCUCUUUUGGACCCCACAGUAACUCUUCAGCUUAGCACUUCUUUCCUGUCCUGUACCUUUAUUUUUUUUUUUUUUGAGAGGGUGUUUUGCUCUUGUUGCCCAGACUGGAGUACAGUGGCACAAUCUUGGCUCAUGGCAGCCUCCGCA
rnacentral:lncRNA from 13 species